GUGGAGUGGGACCUUCUAUCGAACUCACCUCUUGCCUUUUACCAGAUGUGACCGUAGUGUGGCCCAAAUUACUCCAAUAGAUCAAUCUUUGGAAAUACCUCGUCUGAGCACU
rnacentral:snRNA from 1 species